AUUGAACGCUGGCGGCAUGCUUUACACAUGCAAGUCGAACGGUAACAGGCCGCAAGGUGCUGACGAGUGGCGAACGGGUGAGUAAUGCAUCGGAACGUGCCCAGUCGUGGGGGAUAACGCAGCGAAAGCUGCGCUAAUACCGCAUACGAUCUAUGGAUGAAAGCGGGGGACCGUAAGGCCCCGAGCGAUGGGAGCGUCCGAUGUCAGAUUAGGUAGUUGGUGGGGUAAAGGCUCACCAAGCCAACGAUCUGUAGCUGGUCUGAGAGGACGACCAGCCACACUGGGACUGAGACACGGCCCAGACUCCUACGGGAGGCAGCAGUGGGGAAUUUUGGACAAUGGGCGCAAGCCUGAUCCAGCAAUGCCGCGUGCAGGAAGAAGGCCUUCGGGUUGUAAACUGCUUUUGUACGGAACGAAACGGCUCUGGUUAAUACCUGGGGCUAAUGACGGUACCGUAAGAAUAAGCACCGGCUAACUACGUGCCAGCCGCCGCGGUAAAAC
rnacentral:rRNA from 1 species